GACGAACGCUGGCGGCGUGCCUAAUACAUGCAAGUUGAGCGCUGAAGGUUGGUACUUGUACCAACUGGAUGAGCAGCGAACGGGUGAGUAACGCGUGGGGAAUCUGCCUUUGAGCGGGGACAACAUUUGGAAACGAAUGCUAAUACCGCAUAAAAACUUUAAACACAAGUUUUAAGUUUGAAAGAUGCAAUUGCAUCACUCAAAGAUGAUCCCGCGUUGUAUUAGCUAGUUGGUGAGGUAAGGGCUCACCAAGGCGAUGAUACAUAGCCGACCUGAGAGGGUGAUCGGCCACAUUGGGACUGAGACACGGCCCAAACUCCUACGGGAGGCAGCAGUAGGGAAUCUUCGGCAAUGGACGAAAGUCUGACCGAGCAACGCCGCGUGAGUGAAGAAGGUUUUCGGAUCGUAAAACUCUGUUGGUAGAGAAGAACGUUGGUGUGAGUGGAAAGCUCAUCAAGUGACGGUAACUACCCAGAAAGGGACGGCUAACUACGUG
rnacentral:rRNA from 1 species